AGUGUUCAAACAAAAACAAUACAAUGGAUUUAGUUGGCAAUGAUUUAUUAAUGAUCUAGGUUGUUUUUGCUGACAACGUUCUUUAACUGCAAGACUAUAAUUCAUGAGAGUUUCUCGGCUUCGCCCUCACCCCACUGCCAAUCAACUGGACAAAUCCUGUGUUUCCAUGGCGAUGUGGAAGGCCGGAAACGACCUGCCUUUGUGGAGAAGGUGAACUCUGUAUUUCCUCUGCUGCGUGUGGGCGGUUGGACAGGAUUUAUAAAAACACCCGGCCGAUCACGGGCGCACCGCUGAGCGCCUUCUGUGACUUCUGCGGGCCAAGAAAUACAACCGACCACUAAUGUUACACGCGCGCAUGCAUCGAGCUCAAACAAAACGUGGUGCAGUGAAAAGAACACAUCCGCCCACGCCGUCUGACCCAAUCACUGCAGCGAACAGGACGACAUGUUCACAUUAACACUCGUGGAACGCACUCAACAUUCACAAGUGAGAAUUGUGAUGCUGAUCACGGCCGAUGGACUACUUCUUUGUCUGCUCCCUCCCACCUGUUACAAGUCAUUACCAAUGUCCCUUUGAUCGAUCUCCCCGGGUGGAUCAUUGCAGCGGCUGAUCGACGACAAGCAAUGGUGCAGCGCCCCCGCUCCCCUGGGACGGGGGUCAUUGAUGGUGGAGGAAGCACACUUACUUAAAAGCGGCAUUACAAUUAUUUAAUAGAAUUCCACUAAAAGUAAAGCUGGAGUCCUAAGACCACAACAAUGGUUUAUUUUCAUGAGCUUCAACGGCUCUAUCCUGAAUUAUUAACAACUUCUCCAACAAAAUGAAUAUUAGCUUUCAUGUAAAUAACCGGGGAUGUUUCACGGUGACAUCAAUUAGUUUUUACCUCAUUGACCUUUGGUGUAUCCCCUUAAACUGAAAAGCAGUUAAUGGCUGUCAAAUAAAUGUAGCAGGGAGUAAAUGUAAAGUAGUAGUAGCGUAAAAUGGAAAUACUCAACCUCAAAACUGCACUAAAGUACAGGCAUGAUUAAAUGUACUUCAGGACUUUCCCCCGAGGGACAAUGUGGAGAAAUAGUGACAACUUUAGUGCUGAAAAGUUGACAUUAUGCUGGGGUGAGCGAAGGGUCGAUGUGCUGUGAAGUCACACAUCAAGGUGAGAUUUAGCGGAAAGCAGAGAGAGCCAAGCAGAGGUCAAGUGUAAGUGUGUGUGUGUGUGUGUGUGUGUGUGUGUGUGUGUGCGUGUGCGGGGAGGAGAGUGUGUUUCCACAUAUCCUAUUAGAAUUAUUUCAGCUUCAUUUGAUAGUCAGAGGGCGUGAGAGACUUGGUAGAUUAGAGCAGGAGGGAUGUGACGGUGAAUAUAUGGAAGGUCCCCAGCUGAAAGCAGGACCUUUUAAAUAAAAAUAUGACCAGAUCAGGUCCCGGAGCAUCUUGUAAUUCCAAUAUAAAGGGCGGCGGGUGGCUGCAGCAGGGUGGGGGAGGAUUUCUCUGCAGGGAUGUGAUACGAGAUUACCUCUGUUCAAUCCAAGAGACUUAACAAAAUAAAAGUAUGGCUGUGUCCCCACUGUGUGUGUGUCUGUGUAUGUGUCCAGACGAAGGACGAGCAUCACCUGUACCUCAGCCUCGUCUCCCGCUCUCCCCUCUCCAUGACUACUAGGUUGCUCCCUACGAAUACGUGAGGUGCUGUUUCCAAGGUAACAACUCUAUGGAGAAUUGGCCACCUGAAAUCCAGACGGAGAGGAAAAGGAGGGCGACCAGCGGUCUGCAGGCUCUUCACUGCGCCUCCGUCCGUCCGGCUCUUUCCUGCGCUGUGGCCCUCAGAGACUAUCAGUCCUCAUUAGCACAAGACGUCUUCCUACCAGCACUACCUUACACCCGUGGGAGGGGGAGGCAGGGAGAGAGAGAGAGAGAGAGACCUUUCUUGAAAUGACGGCCAUUAGCGUUCCUGGUGUGGAGAUCAGUCUACUAUUCAAAGAUGUGCAUACAUGCGUAAAGGCAGAUGUGGUGGUGCACUAUUACAAUAAAUAAAAUAGCACUACAUGAAUUGCUUUUCUUGUUUUGGUUGCUUUAUUUUGAAAGUCUGCUACACCUCUCUUCAUUUAUCUUGAACCAUCAGUGUUUGCAGCCC
ensembl:lncRNA